GUCCUACGGGGGGUAGCAGUGAGGAAUAUUGGUCAAUGGUCGGGAGACUGAACCAGCCAAGCCGCGUGAGGGAUGAAGGUACAGAGUAUCGUAAACCUCUUUUGUCAGGGAACAAAGGCGGGGACGCGUCCCCGGAUGAGUGUACCCGAAGAAAAAGCAUCGGCUAACUCCGUGCCAGCAGCCGCGGUAAUACGGAGGAUGCGAGCGUUAUCCGGAUUUAUUGGGUUUAAAGGGUGCGCAGGCGGUCUGUUAAGUCAGCGGCCAAAGCCCGGGGCUCAACCCCGGUCCGCCGUUGGAACUGGCAG
rnacentral:rRNA from 1 species